UGGGGAAUAUUGCGCAAUGGGCGAAAGCCUGACGCAGCGACGCCGCGUGAGGGAUGAAGGUUUUCGGAUCGUAAACCUCUGUCAGAAGGGAAGAAACCGCACUGUGCUAAUCAGCAGUGCCUUGACGGUACCUUCAAAGUAAGCACCGGCUAACUCCGUUCCAGCAGCCGCGGUAAUACGGAGGGUGCAAGCGUUAAUCGGAAUUACUGGGCGUAAAGCGCACGUAGGCUGCUUUGUAAGUCAGGGGUGAAAUCCCACGGCUCAACCGUGGAACUGCCUUUGAUACUGCUUAGCUUGAAUCCGGGAGAGGGUGGCGGAAUUCCAGGUGUAGGAGUGAAAUCCGUAGAUAUCUGGAGGAACAUCAGUGGCGAAGGCAGCCACCUGGACCGGUAUUGACGCUGAGGUGCGAAAGCGUGGGGAGCAAACAGG
rnacentral:rRNA from 1 species